CUGCAGUGAUGUAAAAAGUUUGAAUUUCUUCACCUGAAUGUUCCGAGAAGACAUCAUUGACAAAACUGAGCAGA